rnacentral:rRNA from 1 species
AGAGUUUGAUCCUGGCUCAGAUUGAACGCUGGCGGCAGGCCUAACACAUGCAAGUCGAGCGGUAGAGAGAAGCUUGCUUCUCUUGAGAGCGGCGGACGGGUGAGUAAUGCCUAGGAAUCUGCCUAGUGGUGGGGGAUAACGUUCGGAAACGGACGCUAAUACCGCAUACGUCCUACGGGAGAAAGCGGGGGACCUUCGGGCCUCGCGCCAUUAGAUGAGCCUAGGUCGGAUUAGCUAGUUGGUGAGGUAAAGGCUCACCAAGGCGACGAUCCGUAACUGGUCUGAGAGGAUGAUCAGUCACACUGGAACUGAGACACGGUCCAGACUCCUACGGGAGGCAGCAGUGGGGAAUAUUGGACAAUGGGCGAAAGCCUGAUCCAGCCAUGCCGCGUGUGUGAAGAAGGUCUUCGGAUUGUAAAGCACUUUAAGUUGGGAGGAAGGGUAGUAACUUAAUACGUUGCUACUUUGACGUUACCGACAGAAUAAGCACCGGCUAACUUCGUGCCAGCAGCCGCGGUAAUACGGAGGAUCCAAGCGUUAUCCGGAAUCAUUGGGUUUAAAGGGUCCGUAGGCGGUUUGGUAAGUCAGUGGUGAAAGCCCAUCGCUCAACGGUGGAACGGCCAUUGAUACUGCUAGACUUGAAUUAUUAGGAAGUAACUAGAAUAUGUAGUGUAGCGGUGAAAUGCUUAGAGAUUACAUGGAAUACCAAUUGCGAAGGCAGGUUACUACUAAUAUAUUGACGCUGAUGGACGAAAGCGUGGGUAGCGAACAGGAUUAGAUACCCUGGUAGUCCACGCCGUAAACGAUGGAUACUAGCUGUUGGAAGCAAUUUCAGUGGCUAAGCGAAAGUGAUAAGUAUCCCACCUGGGGAGUACGUUCGCAAGAAU